CAAACGCUGGCGGUAUGCUUAACACAUGCAAGUCGAACGAACAAAAUUGGGGCUUGCUCCAAUUUUAGUGAGUGGCAAACGGGUGAGUAACACGUGGGAAUCUACCCAUCAGUACGGAAUAACAUUUGGAAACAAAUGCUAAUACCGUAUAUUCUCUAAGGAGGAAAGAUUUAUCGCUGAUGAAUGAGCCCGCGCAAGAUUAGGUAGUUGGUGGGGUAAUGGCCUACCAAGCCUACGAUCUUUAGCUGGUCUGAGAGGAUGAUCAGCCACACUGGGACUGAGACACGGCCCAGACUCCUACGGGAGGCAGCAGUGGGGAAUAUUGGACAAUGGGCGAAAGCCUGAUCCAGCAAUACCGCGUGAAUGAUGAAGGCCUUAGGGUUGUAAAGUUCUUUUAGUUGGGAAGAUAAUGACGGUACCAACAGAAAAAGCCCCGGCUAACUCC
rnacentral:rRNA from 1 species